rnacentral:rRNA from 1 species
UACGUAGGGUGCGAGCGUUGUCCGGAAUUAUUGGGCGUAAAGGGCUCGUAGGCGGUUUGUCGCGUCGGGAGUGAAAUCCACUGGCUUAACUGGUGGCUUGCUUUCGAUACGGGCAGACUGGAGGUAUGCAGGGGAGAACGGAAUUCCUGGUGUAGCGGUGAAAUGCGCAGAUAUCAGGAAGAACACCCGUGGCGAAGGCGGCUUUCUGGGACGGUACUGACGCUGAGACGCGAAAGCGUGGGGAGCGAACAGG